GAGACAUCUUCAAUUGCUUUAACGAAAGAAGUGUCUAAGAAGGUGUCGUUUUGGUGUCUUUGCAGGUGAGGAUGUGAAGAGGACUUUAUUUAUUUCCAUGGUGUUUCUUCUACUCUCAUCUGAUUUGAUGGCCAAGCUAAGUAAUAAAGGUUUUUGCAUUGAGAGAUGGUUGAUAGUGAAGGACGAGCCCAUCUGACUUUAUUGUUCCAUUUGAUCAGAGGUAACAGAAGAAAUUAUUUUCAGUAAAACCCUCCUGCAGAGAUUGUGGAAUGGCCAGAAUCUGGUGACAAGCCCAUACAGAGGGAAUAUGGAUGGGAAUGCUAACCGGAACAGUUCUUCAGACAUGUGUACUGCUUUUGAUGGGAAGGCGAAAUAGAUAGAGGAGAAGAGACGGAAGAUAUCGCAAGUUUGUCUCAAUCCUUAUAAGUUUUAAUGUUAGCUUUUUUGGAUAAAACUUGGCAGCAUAGUACAAUUACUUGUAUGAUAUGUAAGACUUGUUUAAAUUAAUGUUAUGUAUGUUGAUGAUAUU